UACGAAGGGGGCUAGCGUUGUUCGGAAUUACUGGGCGUAAAGCGCGCGUAGGCGGUUUUCCAAGUCGGGCGUGAAAGCCCCGGGCUCAACCCGGGAAAUGCGCUCGAAACUUGAAGACUGGAGGCCGGAAGAGGGUAGUGGAAUUCCCAGUGUAGAGGUGAAAUUCGUAGAUAUUGGGAAGAACACCAGUGGCGAAGGCGGCUACCUGGUCCGGAUCUGACGCUGAGGCGCGAAAGCGUGGGGAGAAAACAGG
rnacentral:rRNA from 1 species